AUCCGGAGGGUGCAAGCGUUACUCGGAAUCACUGGGCGUAAAGCGCGCGCAGGCGGCUAUUUAAGUUGGAUGUGAAAGCCUACGGCUCAACCGUAGAACUGCAUCCAAAACUAUUUAGCUAGAGUGUGGGAGAGGAAGAUGGAAUUAGUUGUGUAGGGGUAAAAUCCGUAGAGAUAACUAGGAAUACCAAAAGCGAAGGCAAUCUUCUGGAACACUACUGACGCUGAGGCGCGAAAGCGUGGGGAGCAAACGGGAUUAGAAACCCCUGUAGUCC
rnacentral:rRNA from 1 species